GACGAACGCUGGCGGCGUGCUUAACACAUGCAAGUCGAACGGAAAGGCCCUGCUUUUGUGGGGUGCUCGAGUGGCGAACGGGUGAGUAACACGUGAGUAACCUGCCCUUGACUUUGGGAUAACUUCAGGAAACUGGGGCUAAUACCGGAUAGGAGCUCCUGCUGCAUGGUGGGGGUUGGAAAGUUUCGGCGGUUGGGGAUGGACUCGCGGCUUAUCAGCUUGUUGGUGGGGUAGUGGCUUACCAAGGCUUUGACGGGUAGCCGGCCUGAGAGGGUGACCGGCCACAUUGGGACUGGGAUACGGCCCAGACUCCUACCGGAGGCAGCAGUGAGAAAUAUUACACAAUGGACGGAAGCCUGAAGCAGCAACGCCGCGUGCGGGAUGACGGCCUUCGGGUUGUAAACCGCUUUCGCCUGUGACGAAGCGUGAGUGACGGUAAUGGGUAAAGAAGCACCGGCUAACUACGUG
rnacentral:rRNA from 1 species